rnacentral:misc_RNA from 1 species
GAUGAAGAACGCAGCGAAAUGCGAUAAGUAAUGUGAAUUGCAGAAUUCAGUGAAUCAUCGAGUCUUUGAACGCACAUUGCGCCCCCUGGUAUUCCGGGGGGCAUGCCUGUCCGAGCGUCAUUGCUGCCCUCAAGCACGGCUUGUGUAUUGGGCCCCCGUCCCCGGUUUCCCCCGGGGACGGGCCCGAAAGGCAGCGGCGGCACCGCGUCCGGUCCUCGAGCGUAUGGGGCUUUGUCACCCGCUCUGUAGGCCCGGCCGGCGCCAGCCGACACCCAACUUUAUUUCUAAGGUUGACCUCGGAUCAGGUAGGGAUACCCGCUGAACUUAAGCAUAUCAAUAAGCGGAGGA